GGGGCCGACCGGUUUUGACAGCGGGUGGAAUUAAAAAGUAAGCACGUCGAGCGCUGAUACACAGCUCGUAAAUAUCAUGUUUCGACUUUUUUAAACGGCGAAGAUAAUUACGCUUUAGCUGCUUAAUUUCCGAAGUAUAGUAGGAACAAGCCUCGUCCUGUUAGACAGGAAAGCUAAAUUCUCCUAAAAAGCCCUGAUUUGCGGCGUUUUGUCAAGGGGAACCGUAAAAGUAAAUCUAGAUGUGUUAGUGCUUCGGAUACACAUCGAAAUUCUAAGAAGCUAAGCAGGCAGCGGUUGUUUUUGAUCAAGUUGCCCUGACGAAAAUUCAAACAAAAACUAAACGUGUAGAAAGCUCUUUGAUUGCUCGUUUGGACGAGGGUUCGAUUCCCUCCGGCUCCACAA
rnacentral:tmRNA from 1 species